UGUCAGUUUCCGCAGCAGCAGCAGG
rnacentral:piRNA from 1 species